rnacentral:rRNA from 1 species
GAUGAACGCUGGCGGCGUGCCUAAUACAUGCAAGUCGAGCGAACGGACGAGAAGCUUGCUUCUCUGAUGUUAGCGGCGGACGGGUGAGUAACACGUGGAUAACCUACCUAUAAGACUGGGAUAACUUCGGGAAACCGGAGCUAAUACCGGAUAAUAUUUUGAACCGCAUGGUUCAAAAGUGAAAGACGGUCUUGCUGUCACUUAUAGAUGGAUCCGCGCUGCAUUAGCUAGUUGGUAAGGUAACGGCUUACCAAGGCAACGAUGCAUAGCCGACCUGAGAGGGUGAUCGGCCACACUGGAACUGAGACACGGUCCAGACUCCUACGGGAGGCAGCAGUAGGGAAUCUUCCGCAAUGGGCGAAAGCCUGACGGAGCAACGCCGCGUGAGUGAUGAAGGUCUUCGGAUCGUAAAACUCUGUUAUGAGGGAAGAACAUAUGUGUAAGUAACUCAGUCUUUCCCGACGCUACGCACUUACAAUGUAACGUUUAACCAUGGC